CGGACGGGUGAGUAACGCGUGAAUUACAUGCCCUUCAGUGGGGAAUAGCCCAGGGAAACUUGGAUUAAUACCCCAUGGUAUCGCAAGAUUAAAGGUGGCCGCAAGGCUGUCGCUGAAGGAUUGGUUCGCGCCCUAUCAGCUUGUUGGUGAGGUAACGGCUCACCAAGGCUACGACGGGUACCUGGUCUGAGAGGACGAUCAGGCACACUGGAACUGAGACACGGUCCAGACACCUACGGGUGGCAGCAGUCGAGAAUAAUUCACAAUGGGGGCAACCCUGAUGGUGCAACGCCGCGUGGAGGAUGACGGUCUUCGGAUUGUAAACUCCUGUCAUCCGGGAGUAAGACCUGGCUGUGAAUAGCAGACAGGGUUGAUAGUACCGGAAGAGGAAGGGACGGCUAACUUCGUGCCAGCAGCCGCGGUAAUACGAAGGUCCCGAGCGUUGUUCGGAAUCACUGGGCGUAAAGGGAGCGUAAGCGGCGUGGUAAGUCAGAUGUGAAAUCCCGGGGCUCAACCCCGGAACUGCAUCCGAUACUGCCGUGCUAGAGGAUUGGAGAGGUAGUUGGAAUUCUUGGUGUAGCAGUGAAAUGCGUGGAGAUCAAGAGGAACACUCGUGGCGAAAGCGAGCUACUGGACAAUAUCUGACGCUGAGGCUCGAAGGCCAGGGUAGCGAAUGGGAUUAGAUACCCCAGUAGUC
rnacentral:rRNA from 1 species